GAUGAAGAACGCAGUGAAAUGCGAUAAGUAAUGUGAAUUGCAGAAUCUCGUGAAUCAUCGAAUCUUUGAACGCACAUUGCGCCCCUUGGUAUCCCGAGGGGCAUGCCUGUUCGAGCGUCAUUUCACCACUCAAGCCUGGCUUGGUGUUGGGCGACGUCCCCUUUGGGGACGCGCCUCGAAACGCUCGGCGGCGUGGCACCGGCUUUAAGCGUAGCAGAAUCUUUCGCUUUGGAAGUCGGGGCCCCGUCUGCCGGAAGACCUACUCGCAAGGUUGACCUCGGAUCAGGCAGGGAUACCCGCUGAACUUAAGCAUAUCAAUAGCGGAGGA
rnacentral:misc_RNA from 1 species